rnacentral:rRNA from 1 species
GACGAACGCUGGCGGCGUGCUUAACACAUGCAAGUCGAACGGAAAGGCCCUGCUUUUGUGGGGUGCUCGAGUGGCGAACGGGUGAGUAACCCGUGAGUAACCUGCCCUUGACUUUGGGAUAACUUCAGGAAACUGGGGCUAAUACCGGAUAGGAGCUCCUGCUGCAUGGUGGGGGUGGGAAAGUUUCGGCGGUUGGGGAUGGACUCGCGGCGUAUCAGCUUGUUGGUGGGGUAGUGGCUUACCAAGGCUUUGACGGGUAGCCGGCCUGAGAGGGUGACAGGCCAAAUUGGGACUGAGAUACGGCACAGACUCCUACGGGAGGCAGCAGUGGGGAAUAGUGCACAAUGGACGGAAGGAUGAUGCAGCAACGCCGCGUGCGGGAUGACGGCCUUGGGGUUGUAAACCGCUUUCGCCUGUGACGAAGCGUGAGUGACGGUAAUGGGUAAAGAAGCACCGGCUAACUACGUG